rnacentral:rRNA from 1 species
AUUGAACGCUGGCGGCAGGCCUUACACAUGCAAGUCGAGCGGAGCGGCGGACGGGUGAGUAAUGCCUAGGAAUCUGCCUGGUCGUGGGGGCUAACGUCCGGAAACGGGCGCUAAUACUGCCUACUAUCAGAUGAGCCUCGGUCGGAUUAGCUAGUUGGUGGGGUAAAGGCCUACCAAGGCGACGAUCCGUAACUGGUCCGAGAGGAUGAUCAGUAACACUGGAACUGAGACACGGUCCAGACGCCUACGGGAGGCAGCAGUGGGGAAUAUUGGACAAUGGGCGAAAGCCGGAUCCAGCCAUGCCGCGUGUGUGAAGAAGGUCUUCGGAUUGUAAAGCACUUUAAGUUGGGAGGCGUUACCAACAGAAUAAGCACCGGCUAACUUCGUGCCAGCAGCCGCGGUAAUUC